AUGAACCUAUACUUCCCAAGGAAAAGGCUGCACACAGCAAUCCUCCGAGAGCCGGAGGUUCACAGGACACCUUUCCGUUCCAUUCAGUUUUCAGAAAUCAAAACAAGCAACCGGGUUUGUAAUGUGCAGCGAUCAUGGCCAGCUGCACAUGAACUCAACAACAGCACCAAGAUGCCCACCCUGGGCCUGGGCACCUGGAAGUCCCCUCCUGGCCAGGUGACUGAGGCCAUGAAGGUUGCUAUUGACUUGGGGCACCGCCAUAUUGACUGCGCCCAGGUAUACCAGAAUGAGAAGGAGGUGGGGGUGGCCCUCCAGGAGAAGCUCAAGGAGCAGGUGGUGAAGCACCAGGACCUCUUCAUCGUCAGCAAGCUGUGGUGCACGUUCCAUGACAAGAGCAUGGUGAAAGGAGCCUUCCAGAAGACACUGAGUGACCUGAAGCUGGACUACCUGGAUCUCUACCUUAUUCACUGGCCAACGGGCUUCAAGCCUGGGCCCGACUAUUUCCCACUUGAUGCCUCAGGGAACGUGAUUCCUAGUGAUGCCAAUUUUGUGGACAUUGGACGGCUAUGGAACAACUAGUGGAUGAAGGUUUGGUGAAAGCAAUCUGUGUCUCCAACUUUAACCCUCUUCAGAUUGAGAGGAUCUUGAACAAACCUGGCUUAAAAUAUAAGCCUGCAGUGAGCCAGAUCGAGUGCCACCCAUACCUAACUCAGGAGAAGCUGAUUGAGUACUGCCACAGCAAAGGCAUCGUGGUGACAGCAUACAGUCCCCUUGGUUCUCUUGACAGGCCCUGGGCCAAGCCUGAAGACCUGUCUCUCCUGGAGGAUCCCAGGAUCAAAGCAAUUACAGCCAAGUACAAUAAAACUACAGCCCAGGUGCUGAUCCGGUUCCCCAUUCAGAGGAACUUGGUAGUGAUCCCCAAGUCUGUGACACCUGUGUGCAUUGCUGAGAACUUUAAGGUCUUUGACUUUGAGCUGAGCAGUGAGGACAUGGCCACUCUACUCAGCUACAACAGGAACUGGAGGGUGUGCACCUUGAUGAGCUGUGCCAAACACAAGGAUUACCCCUUCCACACCGAAGUCUGA